rnacentral:rRNA from 1 species
GCCCGUUAAUGGGUGAUGGCGUGCCUUUUGUAGAAUGAACCGGCGAGUUACGAUUUGAUGCAAGGUUAAGCAGUAAAUGUGGAGCCGUAGCGAAAGCGAGUCUGAAUAGGGCGUUUAGUAUUUGGUCGUAGACCCGAAACCAGGUGAUCUACCCUUGGUCAGGUUGAAGUUCAGGUAACACUGAAUGGAGGACCGAACCGACUUACGUUGAAAAGUGAGCGGAUGAACUGAGGGUAGCGGAGAAAUUCCAAUCGAACCUGGAGAUAGCUGGUUCUCUCCGAAAUAGCUUUAGGGCUAGCCUCAAGUGAUGAUUAUUGGAGGUAGAGCACUGUUUGGACGAGGGGCCCCUCUCGGGUUACCGAAUUCAGACAAACUCCGAAUGCCAAUUAAUUUAACUUGGGAGU